ensembl:misc_RNA
CAGCACAGGUACAGCACAGGCAGCAACAGUGUGAGCUUUCCCCACACCACCCUGUCCAUGUGCCUCAACCCUGACCUGGAAGGACCACCCCCUGG